GCGAAGAGUGAAUAUUUUGUGAUUGUGUGCGUUUAAAAAGCAUUUAAAUUUAGUAUUAGACAAAUAAAUUGAACAGUGACUUAAAUAUAGUAAAAAUGUGAUUAAUUACGUGUCUGGAAAUGUGCUAUUUUUUAAACUUACUAGUUUUAGAUUGAAUAAAUUAAAGUUGCAAUGUGUUGAGAUGCGUCCGCCAUAUCGCAGCGCGCUUUACACUGCCGCUAGAUAUAGCUUGUCUCUUUUAUAACUGUUGCAUUAGAAAGAGAGAUAAAUAUUCGUGAUUCAAGACUAUUUACUCGGAUCCGUCUGAGCGAAUCGUGGAAAACACAUUUCCUAAAGCCCGAAGACGAUAGUCCAAGUCGCGGGAGGGCUCCCUGGGGACCCACACUAGUUUUCCUACCAUAUCUUAUUGCUCUUUUGUUGAUUCCCCGGGCCGUUAGUUUCAUCGCCCGGGGUCACCGUGCGUCCUAAACGAAUCCGAGAAAGAACUUAUAUGGGUGACAGUAUUUGGAAAGAAAACUUUCUUUAAUUGGAUAAUGGUACUUGAAGUAGGCAGCAUAGCGCUCCCGACGAAGGCUUCAGAGGAACAACAUUAGUCUUCCGUAGAGCGCCGCCUACGAGCCACUCGCUUCUCCCAUUGGCGCGCCACGACCCGCCCAUACAGCCUACAAUUAUAUUUAUAAUGCACACGGCAAAAUAAUUUACAUUCAAGCUGAAUUUGCGACUAGUAUGGGUAAUUGAAAAUUUGUUGUAUUGAACCCAACACGGCCUAUGGCUAUCGGAAAGAUAUUAAAUUAAUUAAUCCGCAUUUAUGCUUCCCGCUUUUAAUUUGAUUGUAUCUUUUUUAUUGUCUAUUGAUUAUUCAUUUUGUUGAGAUUCAAGCUACUGUGGGAUUAACGUUUAUUGGUAAUAUUGUGUUUAAACAUGUUCAACUUAGAAUGCUCACACAUUAAAAUAGGUACAUUGAAAGAUUAAAUGAAUGAACAAUACCUUCCCCAAUUAUUUCGCGAUUGUGUAUCUAAUAUAAUGGUUUUGAUAAUAAAGAAUAAAUUAUGUACUGUGAUUUCUUGAAUUCCAUGGGGAUGAUUUGAUGAAUAAAGAUAAUUGCCCUAAGCUAAUGCAAAAGUUAGUCAAUAAGACAUUUGAAAGAAAUGUAAAACUGCUAUAUUUACUGCUCUACAUGGACCAAAUUUUAAAUAUCCAAAGGGAGAAAAUUAAAUCAAGUUGCAAAGAAAGACAACAAAACAAGAAAUUAGAAAAGGUAACACUUCCAAAACUUUAUUAUUAUCGAAAUUAGUUUCACAAAACUGCAUUGGUUUUCUAAUAGGAAUUUUACUCCUAACUAGAUAACUUAUUCAUAUAGGUACGAGUACCUACCUAUCUUCAACUCUAUCGGAGUACCUAAUUUUAAAUUGUAGGUAAACAAUUUCAUCUCAAGAAAUACAUUUCACACAUUUGAAUGCUUUAAUGAAUUUUAAGGUAGGUAAUUUUAGUUAAAUUUUAGGGUAUUAAUAUGAUAAAGUAAAUUUAAUUCUUAUGUGUAGGAACUACUUGUAUUUACAAAUAGGUAUAACGUUGUAUCGUAUAACAAAAACGAACACUAUUAAAACCAUAUUAUGUUGACGAUGUCGAAACUAUGUAAACUAUUGUAACAAAAGCUUAGAAAUAUGUGCCUACUUUAAAGACAACCGAUAACUUAAAGUAUUUUAACAGCUGAUUGAAGUUUAACAAGUUUCUAUAUUAAUUGUCUUAAAUUGUAUAUUUUAGUUUUAGUAUAUUAUGCUACAAAUCAAUCUAUCUACCUAUUGAUUUAUUUGAAUUGAUUUUUUUU